CUUGUAACAAACAAGAACGACAAACACGCUUUGGCAUACUUACGCCUUCGAAAAAUGAUGAAUUUCUACGACGUGGAUGGCGAAGUAGAAAAAAUACUGGAAGCCCGCAAUAUUCAAAUAAGGCAGAUCAAGCCCAAAGCAG